UUUCCUACUGACUUUUAAUCCUGCUGCCUGCCUGACUUCGUUACCUCACACCAAACAAAAGAAAACAAUCUGAUGCUCCACAGCUCAGUGCUUAGCAAAAGCAAUUUGGAGAGAAGGUCUCGAUUAGAGCUGCACUGUGCACAUACAGGGCUAAACGGUGGCAUUUAGUCCUAGAAGGAUGCACUUUGGAGCCAUCCCACCCCAAGCAAAGUUCAGGGAGAUGCAAUCCCACCCUGAGUUUCAAAACGUGCAAGGGAAGUGCACAGCUGCACCCAUCUUGAGGAUGGCACGGCCUACUCCUGUCUGCUGAUCUUGGCGGGGGCAGAGGAACACACUUCUACAACAAAGGAAGCUUAUGGGAGAAGCAUGGUCAUCAGCUAAAGCACGGAUAAUGAAACCUGGGACAAAGAAAUCUGGAUCUACAGUGUCAAAAUGGAUUUAAGGAAGCUAUCUGGUCAUUGUUUACUACUGUCACUGCUCCUCGGGGGAACAGAACUGCAGGAUGUGAAGCUAAGUCAGGCCUGCUGAAUUAAUUAUGGUGGAUCACUAGGGACUGCAGCAAAGGCCUGAUCUGAGAAUGAAUGAAUCACAUGAUUCCACCCCCAAGAGAGGUGAUGGCUAGAGGCUUGAGACCUGAGAGGAGCGAGGAAGAAAUAACAUUGCAUAAAACUGCUGUUUGUUCAAUGAAAAUGGCCACUUGCCCAAGCAGCAGACAACUUGCAGAACUGAUCAGCCAUUAUCUUGGUGUCACUUCAUUUAAAGGGAAGAAUUUAUGCAGAAUUUCAAGGAAAUAAAAAAAGAGCAACGGACCUCUAGUAUCUGAACUGUCCAGGAGGCGCUUUUCGGGAAAUCCGGGACUGGCAGGGAGAGUGUUGGAGUCACCAAGAGGCUGGUGGAAGCCAGAGUGUUGACUGGAGUGUUGCUGGCAGGCUGCAGCUUUACACAAACAGACACUCAGGGUGUGACCUGCCUGUUGUCUGUGAGGGGCCCGGGUUGGGAACUACAGAGGCAAAGCAUUGUGAGACACCCAUGGUUGCAGGGCAGGGGGUGACAACAUCUUGCUAGUCUGGAUUGCAACCCAGAAUAUAACACACAUGUAGGGAAGAACUCAGGGACUGGGUUUCUGAGAUACUGGGAUACGUGAUAAUUGACAGAGAGACAGACUCUGACACUAGGAGAGGUCUGACAAGCUGGGCUAAUGUCCAAAGUCAAGAGAUCUGGGCAUCUUCUUUUUCUGAUUUCUCCAGUGUUUAAUUGCUCAAUUGAGCCAUAUCUAGAAUAGCUAUUACCCAAUUAAGGCUACAUAUCAUUUUAUACCUGAUCUUCUCUCACUUUUCUGAUAAACUUUGUUUUAAUUAAUAUCCUGGGUAAUUUGACUGUUUUUUGUGACACUCACAAAAUCAUCCCACAAAGAGAAAAUAAACCUUCAGCUUCUUAGGAGAAUUAACAAAGGACAGAAUGAAACCUAAGCCCUGCUCAUCUUCCCAGCAAAGACGGACUAGAAAGUCAACAUCCAUAACUAAGGCAGAGCUUCAAUCAGUGCAAUAUAUUGGAAAACCCAAUGCACCAUGGAUAGGAGCCAGGUUUGAUGCACACAGUUUCCUCCGUCAGAAGAGAAAAAUCACAUUUCUUUCUCUCUCUCUCAUUUCUGCUCAUUUAAAAUUGUAACUUGAAAUUUACAAUAAUUACUACAAUACCAUUUGAAUUGCACUCAGAAGCCCCAGUCAGGAUCAGAGCCCCAUUCUGCUAGUUGCUAAACAAACAUUU